CCCGCUAACAUGUUUAACCCCGCCACAUUAAUUAUGUAUGUGCCUGUUCCAAGUCAGGAGCCUGUAAUUCAGUGGUUGUCGUUUGUUUAUGUGUUACAUAUUUGUUUUUCGUUCAUUUUUUUACAUAAAUAAGGCCGUUAGUUUUCUCGUUUGAAUUGUUUUACAUUGUCUUAUCGGGGCCUAUUAUAGCUGACUAUGCGGUAUGGGCUUUGCUCAUUGUUGAAGGCCGUACGGUGACCUAUAGUUGUUAAUGUCUGUGUCAUUUUGGUCUUUUGUGGACAGUUG
rnacentral:lncRNA from 1 species